AGUCGGGUAGUCCCGUAGGGGGCGGAGUGAGAUCGUAAGUCUCAUAGGCAAAUGCCUCUCGGUGGUUCGACUCCACUCCCGACUA
rnacentral:tRNA from 1 species